UCCUACGGGAGGCAGCAGUGAGGAAUAUUGGUCAAUGGUCGAGAGACUGAACCAGCCAAGUCGCGUGAGGGAUGACUGCCCUAUGGGUUGUAAACCUCUUUUCUAUUGGGAGAAUAAGCCUUAUGUAUAGGGUGAUGACAGUACAGUAGGAAUAAGCAUCGGCUAACUCCGUGCCAGCAGCCGCGGUAAUACGGAGGAUGCGAGCGUUAUCCGGAUUUAUUGGGUUUAAAGGGUGCGUAGGCGGCUUUAUAAGUUAGUGGUAAAAUUUCGGAGCUUCACUCCGGUCCGCCAUUAAAACUGUAGAGCUAGAGAAUGGACGAGGUAGGCGGAAUAAGUUAAGUAGCGGUGAAAUGCAUAGAUAUAACUUAGAACUCCGAUAGCGAAGGCAGCUUACCAGACCAUAACUGACGCUGAUGCACGAGAGCGUGGGUAGCGAACAGGAUUAGAUACCCUGGUAGUCC
rnacentral:rRNA from 1 species